AUUGAACGCUGGCGGCAGGCCUAACACAUGCAAGUCGAACGAGAGGCGGACGGGUGAGUAAUGUCUGGGAAACUGACCGAUGGAGGGGGAUAACUACUGGAAACGGUAGCUAAUACCGCAUACCAUCGGAUGUGCACAGAUGGGAUUAGCUAGUAGGUGGGGUAAAGGCUCACCUAGGCGACGAUCCCUAGCUGGUCUGAGAGGAUGACUCGCCACACUGGAACUGAGACACGGUCCAGACUCCUACGGGAGGUAGCAGUGGGGAAUAUUGCACAAUGGGCGAAAGCCUGAUGCAGCCAUGCCGCGUGUAUGAAGAAGGCCUUCGGGUUGUAAAGUACUUUCAGCGAGGAGGCGUUACUCGCAGAAGAAGCACCGGCUAACUCCGUGCCAGCAGCCGCGGUAAUAC
rnacentral:rRNA from 1 species